UCUUGGGAUGCUUAGGAGAAACAAGGGUGAUACAGACUUUGUUUCCAUUUUUUUCCUUUAUCCCAACCCUUCUUGAGGCAAAGAAGAUAAAAGAGAGCCCUACAUUCUUUUUUCUUAAACUGAAGCCCUUGAAGGAGGAGGAUGUCAAAAAGUAUGAUAAAACGGAAACCUGCUCUGGAAAUUGAAAGAUGAUGUCAAGGUUUGUCAAAAGCAAGGCCCUGCUCUUCUGGCUGCUCUUCGAGGAGGCAGCUUCAGCAGUCAUCCUCUGCUAGUGUUCCCAGCCCAGUUUGAGCUCUCCCAGGGACAAAAUCUGAUCCAGCGAAGCUACUCACCACCAAAUACUGAAAAAGGCAUUUUGAGGAGGUGCUGUGUCUGAAAAACAAGAAAGGAUUUUAAGAAAAUGAAAAGGUGUCACGUGUUAAAAUGUUCAUAGCAGCAUCAUUUGAUAUUUCAAAACAUUGGG
rnacentral:lncRNA from 1 species